rnacentral:rRNA from 1 species
AACGUAGGUGGCGAGCGUUAUCCGGAUUCACUGGGCGUAAAGGGCACGCAGGUGGCGUGGUAGGUAGGGCAUGAAAACUCCUGGCUUAACUGGGAGAGGCUGUCCUAUACCGCCAUGCUUGAGGAUGAGAGAGGGAAGUGGAAUUGCCGGUGUAGUGGUGAAAUGCGUAGAGAUCGGCAGGAACACCAGUGGCGAAGGCGGCUUCCUGGCUCAUACCUGACACUCAUGUGCGAAAGCUAGGGGAGCGAACGGG